CAAAUACCAAAAACAGAAUAAAAUUAAGAUUUAAGUGGGGCUCCCAUACAGCAAACGUGAUUUUUGACCAAAGUUAAGCAACGUCGGGCGUGUGUACCCCUUGGAUGGGUGACCGUUUUCUUUUUGCAUUUUUUCCGUUUUUUUUUUUGCUUUAUGGUACGGAACCCUUCGUGCGCGAGUCCGACUCGCAAUUGCCCGGUUUUUUUUAUUUUUGGCGACCAGAGUUACCGCAUUAUGUACGGAACUGUACAGAGGCACCAUCUGCAUUAGCUGUGUUAAAUCAGGGCCACAAAAGUGUUUCUUACCUGUACAAUUUAUACAACCAAUAAAUUUUUGAUUUUACUAAUGUAUUUUGUAAUAAGACAUUUUAGGGAUGAGUGCUGACAUUAUUAUGAAUAUUUAUGAACUAUGUUAACACAUUAUAAGUUGUCUUUUUCUAUUAGAAUUAAUAAUUAUUUGUGGCUUUCCAGCACCGAAGGGUCCUUAUGCUUCAAGUGCAAUAAGGAGGUAUUCGUCUGAAAUUCCAAGAAAAAAUCUGAUAGAAUGGUCCUUAUUGUAAAUGAAGCGUAAGGAUCUUACUCUGAUGGAAAGCCACAUUCCCUCGUAUAAAGAUCGAGCGCUGUGCGUAAGCGGUCUAAAGGUUCGCACUCGAUUUAGACAUAGUUCAACUGCUAAUCGUUUUAAACAUCAAAUAUAUCAUUAAUUGAAAUGUUUAAUGUUUCAAACAAACCAGCACGCUCGAGUUUUCAAUAAUACCUUAAAAAUAGCUAAUGUAUAAAUGCAUCAUUUUUUUCGAAAAAGUUGUUAAUGUACCUAUUACCGUUUAUAGAAAUAAAUUUAUUAUUUUUUCCAUCUAUCCGGCUUAGUCCAAUUUUAUAUACCUGCAAUAAUAUUUCGUUUGACAAAUCGCGCAAUAAUACACUGACACCUUAUUAGACACAUAAAAGUACAAAUAAAUACACAAGAUUUGGAAAUUUGACUAACGCUUGGUUGUGCCUAAAGUAUCUAGUAGAUGUUAUCUGGCUAUAAAACCUAGGAAACGCGAAUAAGUGCUUAAACAAUCUUAAAUAAUAGCACGAGUGUGAUAGAAUUAUAUUAGCGUUAAAUCUGCACAUCCUACUAACUGUGCCAGUAAGGCGUCUUCAAAUUGUUGCUUCGCUUCGGUGUGCGAACUUACAUACUGGAGCAAUAUACGGAUACGCAUCAGUGUGAUCAGUAACGGCAUCUAAACGCGCAUAGAAUCUGUGCGAAAAGAGAAUUGUCGUAGAAUGUAAGGGAACCCAUACCCAUACAUUCUACGACUCUUCUCUUUCCGCACAGACUAUACUGAAAUAUUCAGAGCCUUAUUGUCGCACUUUUAAAAUUAACUUGGCUUCCAUUGCGUAUGUCUAUUGUGUAAACUUCGGUGGUGUCACUAAUACAAGAAAACUGUAACCUCCUUUUUGAAAUGUACACGUCAAGAUUGUUGUCAAUUAUAUAUAACCGACGUAAUAAUCUAACAAUACCCCAGCUGGCUUUGAUAUUUAUAGGUUAUAUACAGACGUGACAAUUGGACUACCUAUUUAACGAUCCAGCUAGGCCCACUGGGUGACAAUCAUUGGUAGAAAACGCCAAUCGAAUGUGAAAUAAUAUACGGAAAUGGUCACAUGAUUUUACGUUGCAUCUGUCAUCCUGUUACAUAUUUUUCUAUUCGAUUGAUCAGCGUUUGUCGAUGUGCGAUUGUCAAUUGUCAUCUUGGCUAGGUACCCUGUUUCACCAUACUGACAAUUGACGCCUGACAUUGGCAGUUCACCCUACAUUGAUGUUCCAACAAGUAAAUAUUGACGCUAUGUACCUACAGUCGUUACUUAUCGACUCAGGGAAUUGUCAGUGUCAGGUGCCAAUUGUCAAGUUGGGGAAAUAGGCGCUUGGAAGGCAAGGCGUGCCGAUUUAUCGUGCCACAACAAAUUGGUAAUGAAUGUUGUCUGUAUGUUCCUUUAAGUUUGUAAAACGUUUGUUUUAAAAUUGAUCUAUGUGUAACAUACACGUUUUGAUAAUAUACAUUAUGUUGGACGAAUUAGAGAUAGAUGGAAACCGUUUUAUUGUCUGCUUUGUAUUGUAUGUAUAUUUCUCAGCGCGCCAGGUUUUUGCUUUCAAAUCCCUAUUAAGGUGAUACAUGUGAUACGGCUUUAGAGUCGGACCAAGCUAACUCUGCACAAACUUUGCAGUGACAACAUGUGAAACAUUUACGUUUUUAGAGGCACUCCCACACGUUGUCACCCGAAAGUCUGUGUAGAGACUGCAGUUAUAGGUCUACCCCUUAUCUCGGGCAGUCGGUAAAGAAGUUGCGCGAUGAUAUUCUAGUAGCAAAAUGUUAGAGACGAAAAUACACAUUUAACCAAGAAAUUAGACAGGUGGAAGACCACCCUUAACGCCUUAGUUAAAUGGUAGAACCAUAGCUUAGAUGGACGCUAACAUUUAUUGGCUCAGACAGUUUAUUUAAUGAUCAAACGUCGAGAUUUCAUCCAUGACUGUGGCAGUAUUUUCUAACUUUUUUCAAAAUUGCCUCAUUCCAAAUGAGAAUAUUGCCUCAUUCGUACAUUCGGCCAGUGUAUAGUUACUGAUGGAUACGUUAGCCACAUAUCACUAGCUUUCUUUUAUUUAUUGUUGUGCAUCGAAGACAAUCCUACAGGCGUACAUACCAAUAACGAGUUCAAAGUUUUUUUUUUAAAUAGAACUUGAUCCUUUUUUUGGGAUGACGGUUCUAAAUAAUAUUGACUAAAACGAAACAAUUAACACCUUAUUGAUCACAAUCACGGUUAAGUAGUUUUUACGCUACUGUGGAACAAACAUAAUUAGAAAACAAAUAUGCCGAAAACCUGUGAUUCUUGUAAAAUAGCAAACACACUGACGUACAUUCAAUCAAAGACUAUUAAUUCCGAUUUUUGUUUCCAAUUUGAUCAAAUCAAGCCUAACAUAAAUGAAAUUAAAAGACAUUUAAUAUGGAGUGUCAGGUACAUUUAUAGGAUUGUGGUAAGGUGGCAAUAUGUUGGUUUGGUUACUGUUCGCUUACCCACUCAAAAUCUAAAGUAACUAUAUGUUGAACGAUUAAUGUACUAUGUUAGAAUAUUUAGAUCCUCUAAUACUAGCAUUAUGCAUUAUAUAUAUAUAUUAUAAAUAUACUUAACUCAUACUGUUAGUAACGAUAAGGUGAAAAUUUAAUGAGGGACUAAUUUUGCUUCAUAAAAUAUUCUUUAUACGUAGGAAAUAUUUAUUAUUUACAAGUUUUUAAUUUUUUAAAGAUUAUCUAGCAAAAUUAGGCUCGCAAACGAGUUUACUCAUAUUAAUAGUAAAUAAUAUUAGCGUGAUGACUAUCCAUUGAAAUUAAAAUAAAUCUAAAUCACGCCUGUUUUACAACACUGACAAUUGUCACAUGACGAUGACGAUUCACCUGUACAUUGCGAAUUAUCGGUGCCACUUGUAAAUUGUCAUGUUGGUUUAUACGGGUGUCAAUCUUCUCACAAAUCUAUUGUUUUGGUACUUUACCGAGUUGCGUAUAUGCGCUAUAAUUAUUUAUUAUUCUUAUGUUAUAGUUAUGAAGUCAUUAGAUUUGUAAUUGUUUACAGCUUGAAUGCACACUAUAGAAUAAUUUAAGGUGAAAUUAAUGAGGGAAAGAAUGCCAAUAGGUGAUUACGUUGUUAUUUGCAUUAGUUACAGGAUCCAGUUAUUAGAUGAGGCACAGUUACAGUAUGUAGGCUUAUUAUGGUCGAAUUUGACUAUAGGUACUUAUCAUUUUUGUUGAGACAUUCAUUUUGUCAUUCUCUCAUACUUGUCCGAAUGGGAUACAUGUCUCAUCUACUGAAGUGAGGCAUGAAAACGCGUCCAUAAUAUGCCCCUAUUUCAUUAACUUGACAAUUGUCAUCUGACUGUGACAUUGACAAUUUCAAGUUAAUUUUUGUGUCUGUAAGUAGCGACGGUGUUUACUUAGCGCCAAUGUUUGCUUGUUGGACCACCAAUGUACGGUGAAUUGUCAUUGUCAGGUGACAAUUGUCAUUAUGAUGAAUCAGGACUUAAGUCGAUUUAUACUGUUUUGUAUGAAUGGAGCACCCAAAGUACUGUAAUGGUGCCUAUAUUUAAGAAAUUCGUUUUGUAAUAUAAAUGGCACGUUACUUUAGUCCGCUCGCCAGCGACUGAUUUCUCUCGUACUGUUUCGAGGCGACAUGGUAAUAUAACAUGCCAUUUAAAAGAACCCAGUAAAAAAAUUAUGCCAAAAAUAACGUAAACCUGUUGUUGUUAGGCGGUCUUUAAUGUGAUCACAAAAAUUAUGUUACGUGUAUGUAUAGUAUGUUUACGGUGCCUACUUACUCGUUCAAUUCGGAGUUGGCCGAAUCAAAUAAUAUAUAUAAAUAGUUUAUAUCUUACCUAUACACGAGCGGUCAUUAAAAUGGUAAAGUUUUGGGUCACUGUAUAAUACGCGAAAAUAUUUUUGUUCUGACAAUGGGACAUUGCAACUAUCAAGUUGCAGCCAAUAUAACCGCAUAAAACGAAGGUAGUUAAUAAUUUACCCCCUUUCAUAAACGUUUACUAAAGUUGACAAACCGAUAAUAAUCUUUUGUCCCUUUCCGACGUAUUGGUAUGAUGGAAAGGGACAAACAAUUAUUAUCGGCUUGUCAACUUUAGUAAACGUUUAUGAAUAAGGGGGUUAGUAUUUACUCAAAUAAGUUAACGUUUGCCCAUGUCUUUUAUUAACCAACAUGACAAAUUAUCGCCUGACACUUGACAAUUCGGCGUUCAUUUCUGAAACGAUAAGUAACAAUUGUACGAAACAGUGGUUUUACUAAUUGGACUAGAAAUGUAGAGCGAAAUAUGUCAAUUGUCAUGUGACAAUUGUCAAGUUGGCGUAAUAAGGGCCUAGUGUUAGACCUGAUCGCACCUGAUUUUAAUGACAAGCGCUGUAUAUAGUAUAUAUAAAUAAAAUUAUGUAUCUCUUUUAUAUGAUAUGGGAAUAGUAGUAAAGAGUUCACGAAUAUAACUGAUAUGUAAAAUUCCAA